rnacentral:rRNA from 1 species
GACGAACGCUGGCGGCGUGCUUAACACAUGCAAGUCGAGCGGUAAGGCCCUUUUGGGGGUACACGAGCGGCGAACGGGUGAGUAACACGUGGGUGACCUGCCCUCAGCUCUGGGAUAAGCCUGGGAAACUGGGUCUAAUACUGGAUAUGACCUUUCCUCGCAUGGGGUUGGGUGGAAAGUUUUUCGGCUGGGGAGUGGGCCCGCGGCCUAUCAGCUUGUUGGUGGGGUGAUGGCCUACCAAGGCGACGACGGGUAGCCGCCUGAGAGGGCGACCGCCACACUGGGACUGAGACACGGCCCAGACUCCUACGGGAGGCAGCAGUGGGGAAUA